rnacentral:lncRNA from 10 species
ACUUUUAACUUGGGUCAUUUAAGUGCAAGUGCCUUGUUUUCGCCAUUUUGCCAAGGACAUGGGGCUCAAGUUUGGGUGUGCACCUGGCUUGCAGCAGAACUGGCUGGGAUGGCUUCAUAACUUCCCUUCUAACAAUAUAACAAUAUGCUUCUGUAAAUUUUCACACUGAAUUGGACAAGAAUCAGAAUAUCCUGUUUUGAACAUCUGCACAGAUUGACAAACAAAAAUGGAACAUCAAGACUGACUGGAAAUGGUGAUGUGAAAUUCAUUAAAUGCUCUUGCAAUUGCCAGAGGUGCCAAGACUGAGGCUCAGAGAAAUGAAAUAACAUGCCAAAGGUCACAGUGUCUAGUGGAGCUGGGGCCAAAUUCAGGUUCGCGUGGUAAUAAAGCUUUUUUUAUGCCAUCACCCUG